rnacentral:lncRNA from 1 species
UGAAGAAGGUGACUGCUUCCCCUUCUGCCAUGAUUGUACGCUUCCUGAGGUCUCCCAGCCAUGUGGAACUUUCACAGAGUUUGAGAGAAACUGUAUUCAAGUUGCUGAAACCAAGAAGCUACACUCACGAGUCUCACCUAAACUCGAAUCUGAUUUAGAUGACAUCAUCCUGGACUUUGAGUUGAUGAAACCUUGGAGGUCUUGGGAGUAAAGCAAGUGUGAUUUGCAUAUGAUGGAUAUGAAUUGUAAUGGCCAGAGCAUGGCUGUGGAGAAUUUGGGAUUAAAGACUGAAUUCACAUUCUUUCUAACCAGUGGCCUUUUUUGGACUGUUAAAUCCUUGAUGCCAAAAGCUUCUGAUUGUGAAGCUAAUGAACCAAUGCCUAGUGUGAUUACCUCCAACUGCUAAAUGUAAUCCAAAGAACAUGCCUGAUUGCAAACAAUCUUGCCAAGCAUAGACAAAGGAAGACCAUUCAUUAAAACUACUUGUUUUCGAGCAGAUUCCAGCCCAGAUUUUAUUCAGCUGCCUAAUCAAGGAAGACUGCUUUCACUUUCUGCAAACUAGGCAGUAAAAGCCACAGAGGCCAAUGGCCUCCUGUAGAUUUUUCUAGGAGUUGGCAAACUAUGGCCCAUCAGCCACAUCUGACCUGCUUUCCUGUUUUGUAAAGCCCAUGAGCUAAGAAUAUUUUGUACAUUUUUAGAUGGUUGGGGAAAAAUCAAAAGAAGAUUACUAUUUUGUUAUGCCUGAGAAUGAAAUAAAAUUCACAUUUC